rnacentral:lncRNA from 1 species
UUUAGUGCUUCAAAUCAUUCAAAAUGGCCGCCCCAAAGCGUAUUGGUGAUAGUGGCUAUUGUUGUGACAACGAUCCGGCGAUCCCCAUGAUGAUUCUUAUUCUCAGGGAUUUGGUAAUCUAUUAUAUAGUUUUCGUGGAUAAUAGCACUAUUAAAGUAUCUGACAUCAGGUAUUGCAUUUUUACUAUGAAACCUUUUGACGAAAUAUAAUAUCUUCAGCUGAAGGCUUCAUGUGAUCUGCGUGCUUGUGACAGUGAUUAAAUGGUCCAAUUCAAGCUGUCUUCCAAAACCAUGGAAAUUCUGUUUGCAAGAACGCGAAUAUGUUCCAUCGGGAUAUUCGGCCACAUCAUCAACAAUCACAAGCUAUUCAAAUAUCUAUGCAUCACCUAUUUAUGUGCCAGUUCCCGUUUCACUGCCUUCACAAAUCAAUCAACCGCAGCCAGUGGAACGUUAGGAUUCAAAAGAAAGAGUUUCUCAGUUGGAAGAUCUAUAGCGGAUGCUGGAACUGCAGAAGAAGAUUCAGGAAUUGGAGAUUAGUUUGCAGGAAGCCAUAGCCAAACAGGCUGUUCCUCCCAGUGGAAUUAAGAGCCAGCAGGUCGUCAUCGACAAAUCGAUAUCUGCAGCUAUUUCCACUGGAGCCACUGAAGCCGAACUUUGUGUGUUCCUAAAAAGAAUCCUUCUACCUCAUCUUGUGUCUCUUCUAAAGUUCUGAAUGAAAUCGAUCUUCUGCACUUCCGAUUGAGCAAUGUGAUCGCCUCAACCGGAGCUGUCGUUGUCAACCGUCGUCGCAUUGGAAAGAUAACCGACAACUAUCAGGAGUAGGAGCAGGAGGAAUUUCCUUGUCCCAUUCCCACUUAGAGAUUCACAGACAUGAAGAGUAUGAAGUGACCUGAAUGUAUGUACCAGAUCUGCUUGUUGAUGAAAGCCUUACUAAAUGCAUCACCCAUAUAAUAAAGCAUCAGGAAAUUUAUCUCAACAUGUGAAGUAAUGCU